ACGGGACAGAUUGGUAGCAAUAUUGGUCUGUUCAGUGGCGAACGGGUGCGUAACACGUGGAUAACCUUCCGGGAAGUGAGGCAUAGCCCAGGGAAACUUGGAUUAAUACCUCAUGUGGUCGCAAGACUAAAGGCGCAAGCCGCUUCCUGAUGGGUCCGCGGCCUAUCAGCUAGUUGGCGGGGUAAAAGCCCACCAAGGCGACGACGGGUAGCUGGUCUUAGAGGACGACCAGCCACACUGGAACUGAGACACGGUCCAGACACCUACGGGUGGCAGCAGUCGAGAAUCUUUCACAAUGGGGGCAACCCUGAUGGAGCGACGCCGCGUGGAGGAUAAGGUCUUCGGAUUGUAAACUCCUGUCAUGCGAGAACAAAGCCCUAUGGGUGUGAUAGUAUCGCAAGAGGAAGAGACGGCUAACUCUGUGCCAGCAGCCGCGGUAAUACAGAGGUCUCAAGCGUUGUUCGGAAUCACUGGGCGUAAAGGGUGUGUAGGCGGCGUGAAAAGUCAGAUGUGAGAUCCGGGGGCUCAACCCCCGAAUGGCAUCCGAUACUGUCAUGCUGGAGGUCUGUAAAGGGGUCUGGAAUUCUCGGUGUAGCAGUGAAAUGCGUGGAUAUC
rnacentral:rRNA from 1 species